GAACCGAAAGACAGGCUGGCUGCUGCGCCCACCGGCUUGGAGAACUCCUUCCAGACCUGGGAGGAAAACUGAGGGCCUCGGUCCGAGACAAUGUCAAUAGGAAUGCCGUGAAGUCUGAAUACAUGAAGGACGAAAAGGUAUAUCCUCUGUGUCAGGUCGUCAAGCAAUGAGCAGAAUAAGAGAUGAUGCGACCAAUGAGACAAGACUUGCUAGGGCUAGGGAGAGUCAUCACACAGGUAAAGAGUCAUGGAUCUUCCAGUACGAGCCGGAGAUGAAAUGCCAGAGGUUUCAGUGGAAGAGUCCGACGUCGUCAAGGCCGAAGAAAACAAGACAGUCAAAGUCAUAUUGAUCACAUUCUUCAAUAUGAGCAGCAUUGUCCAUUGCGAGUUCUUGCCAUGGGUGGGGCCUAACAAUCAACCAGCACAUCUACAAAGAGAUCCAGGGUGAUGACUUUGAAGUGGAAAAGUGCUCCCCUGUGUUCCUGACCCACGUCAUUCUGUUCUGUCCACUGCCUGCCACCUGUCCACGCCGCCGCCUGCCAACACAUCCAGGACCACCUCCAUAACCUUUCCUCAAUAAACUGUUCAUCAUUUUA